rnacentral:rRNA from 1 species
GAUCCUGGCUCAGGAUGAACGCUGGCGGCGUGCCUAAUACAUGCAAGUCGAACGCGAGACGAGGGAGCUUGCUCCCUCCGAUCGAGUGGCGGACGGGUGAGUAACACGUAGGCAACCUGCCCAUCAGCCGGGGAUAACUGCGGGAAACCGUGGCUAAUACCGGAUAAACCUUUCCUCCGCGGGGAGGGGAGUUGAAAGACGGUUUCGGCUGUCGCUGAUGGAUGGGCCUGCGGCGCAUUAGCUGGUUGGUGGGGUAACGGCCCACCAAGGCGACGAUGCGUAGCCGACCUGAGAGGGUGAUCGGCCACACUGGGACUGAGACACGGCCCAGACUCCUACGGGAGGCAGCAGUAGGGAAUCUUCCGCAAUGGACGCAAGUCUGACGGAGCAACGCCGCCGUGAGUGAAGAAGGGUUUCGGCUCGUAAAACUCUGUUGUUAAGGAGGAAUGACAGGUAGAGUAACUGCUACCUGUGUGACGGUACUUAACCAGAAAGCCACGGCUAACUACGUGCCAGCCGCCGC